rnacentral:tRNA from 1 species
GCUAAGUUAGUUUAAUAUUAGAAUUUGUAACUUGUAAUUACAGGGUUAUUAAUUAGCA